rnacentral:piRNA from 1 species
UCUGUUUCUGUUUACCAAUGAGAGGC